GGCGAGGCGAACAGAGGACCGGUCCAAACAGAAAGGUAAGCACAGCCUGUUGUAUUAUAAAUACCAAAUGUGCAUAUUGGGCUUUCCAAAUCAAUCUGUUUGCUGAGUUACACGUAUUUUCACAUUAAAUUUGUCGGUGUCUGGUUUUUGGCACGAGAUACUAACAACAUAAGUUGAGGCCGAAUUUGUGUUAGAUAAACUGCUUCUACCAAGAAACUAAUAAUACACUACGUUGAGCUAGUUGCAGUUUAAUUGCUUCUACCAAGAAACUAAUAAUAUACUACGUUGAGCUAGUUGCAGCCCACUUUACCUUCCACAUUUAACUUUGUCUAAGACUGGCUUCUGUAGCAAUAAUACAUUAGAAUCUUUUUUGGAGAUGCGGUCAUAAGUCCAGUACAUUGAAUAGAGGUUUUGAAGUUGGUUUAUGGUGUCGGUUGAGUCCUCGUUGAUGCGGCCAUGAAAUUAAUAUGAAAUUAAGGUUAAGCAGAUACUGGCUUACGGUGUGGUUGAGCGCCAGUAACGCGUAACGCGUAACGCGUCCGUAGGUUUUGGUUUAUGAUGCGGCCGUGUUCUGGUGAUGCGGCCGUAAGUGCAGUAGUGAGGGGUUGCUGGUUUCAGCACAUUGAAUAGAGGUUAGACGGUGGUUUAUGGUGUCGGUUUUGAGCCUCGAGGGCUGCGGUCAUAAAAUUAUAAGUAAAAUAUUUACGUCACCCCGAUUAAAGGUAAAGUAGACGCUGGUUUAUGGUGCGGUUUUGAGCCUCGGGGACGUAUGCAUCACUUCUGUUAUAUGAUGCGAUUUUGCCCCGUGGUGGCGGCCAUAAGCGCAGUGAAAGGGGUACCUGGUGUAUGGUGCGGUUGUGCUUCGGAAGAGUUCUAACAGUUGAGCUCAGAGGUUUCUGUGUAAAUUUCCGCUGAUGAAAAGCGCUCUCUGUGGGUCUCACUGCUGGUGAGGCGCGCUCUGGGCGUUGUGCGCGCUCUGGGUGUGUUUCUGUGUGUGAAGCGUGAACACAGUGACAGUGACGGUUGAUGUGUGAAUAGGAGGACAUUAGUGCGAAGAAAAUGCUUUAAGAUCAAAGGUUGACGCCUAGUGUACCUGUGGAAAUAAAGUUUGUUCAUGGUGUGGCGACCCCCCUGUCUGUGGACGCACAGGCCGGUCCAGCGGCGUCUGGGUGCCGAGGUGGUGACUUGGGAACUGAGGACUCCCGCAUAGCUACAGAAUAACACUGGAACGGCCGUGUAAUCACGGGUUCACAUUUAUUCUGGAAUAGAACAAGAGAAUGCUUUCACAUCUAAGGUUGAGUUCUAUCAUAGGUGAAAUAUAAAAAGGUUGAAUUCCUCGUUUCAGUGGUUGAAAUUGUUGUGUGCCUGUCCCCUGACGAGUGUGAAAUUAAAUAAAGAGGGAAUUUGGAGCCACAUAGAGAUAGACGGGCAUAAUUGGGUGUAUUACUCUGUGGUGUAAUAAAAA
ensembl:lncRNA